rnacentral:rRNA from 1 species
CUGACGCUGAAGCUCGAAGGUGCGGGUAUCGAACAGGAUUAGAUACCCUGGUAGUCCGCACAGUAAACGAUGGAUGCUCGUUGUUCGCCCAAUUGAGGGUGAGUGACUUAGGGAAACCGUUAAGCAUCCCACCUGGGGAGUACGCCGGCAACGGUGAAACUCAAAGGAAUUGACGGGGGCCCGCACAAGCGGAGGAACAUGUGGUUUAAUUCGAUGAUACGCGAGGAACCUUACCCGGGCUUGAACUGUAGGAGAACGAUACAGAGAUGUUGAGGUCCUUCGGGACUCCUAUGGAGGUGCUGCAUGGUUGUCGUCAGCUCGUGCCGUGAGGUGUCGGCUUAAGUGCCAUAACGAGCGCAACCCUUUUCGUCAGUUGCCAUCAGGUCAUGCUGGGCACUCUGGUGAUACUGCCGCCGCAAGGUGUGAGGAAGGUGGGGAUGACGUCAAAUCAGCACGGCCCUUACGUCCGGGGCUACACACGUGUUACAAUGGGGCAUACAGAAGGCCGGUUCGUGGCAACACGGAUCCAAUCUUUAAAGUGCCUCGUAGUUCGGAUUGGGGUCUGCAACCCGACCCCAUGAAGCUGGAUCGCUAGUAAUCG